AGUUACAAAACUAUAUUAUAGCAGAAGCAGUUGGAAAGCUGAACAAUAUAAGGUGAUAGUCCUGUAUGCGAAAUAAUAUAGACUCUUUAGGGUAUCCUGAGUACGGCGGGGCACGUGAAACCUUGUCGGAAUCAACGGGGACCAUCCCGUAAGGCUAAAUACGCUCUAAUGACCGAUAGUGAACAAGUACCGUGAGGGAAAGCUGAAAAGAACCCCGGGAGGGGAGUGAAAUAGAUAAUGAAACUAUAUGCUUACAAAAAGUCAAAGCCCGUUAAUGGGUGAUGGCGUGCCUUUUGCAGAAUGAACCGGCGAGUUAUUGUAUUAUGCAAGGUUAAGUGGAAAACAUGGAGCCGAAGCGAAAGCGAGUCUUAAUAGGGCGACUUAGUAUGAUGCAAUAGACCCGAAACCAAGUGAUCUAGCCAUGAGCAGGUUGAAGGUGAGGUAAUACUCACUGGAGGACCGAACAGGUGUACCCGGAAACGUGCUCUGAUGACUUGUGGCUAGCGGAGAAAUUCCAAACGAACUUGGAUAUAGCUGGUUCUCCCCGAAAUAGGUUUAGGCCUAGCGUUAUAAUUAAGCUUGCUGGAGGUAGAGCACUGAAUGGAUGAGGGCGGCAUCUCGCUGUACCAAUUUCAAUCAAACUCCGAAUGCCAGUGUAGUAUUUAUAGCAGUCAGUGUAUGGGUGAUAACGUCCAUACGCGAGAGGAAAAUAAUCCAGAUCACCAGUUAAGGUCCCAAAAUUUAUGCUAAGUGGGAAAGGAUGUGGAGUUGUCAAAACAGCUAGGAGGUUGGCUUAGAAGCAGCCAUCCUUUAAAGAGUGCGUAAUAGCUCACUAGUCGAGUGACACUGCGCCGAAGAUGUACCGGGGCUAAGCAUAAUACCGAAACUGUGAAUUCUUAUGAAUGGUAGGGGAGCGUUCCAAUUGCGAUGAAGGUAGACCGUGAGGACUGCUGGAGCGUUUGGAAGUGAGAAUGCCGGUGUGAGUAGCGCAAGCUGGGUGAGAAUCCCAGCCACCGAUUGUCUAAGGUUUUCUGGGGAAGGUUCGUCCUCCCAGAGUAAGUCGGGACCUAAGGCGAGGCUGAAAAGCGUAGUCGAUGGACAACAGGUUGAUAUUCCUGUACCGCCUAUGUAACUGAUGGAGUGACGGAGAAGGCUAACAAGAGCCAGUUAUUGGAUUCUGGUCUAAGCACAAAGACUUGUGAGUAGGUAAAUCCGCUACACUAUAAAGUUGAAGUGUUAUGGUGACGAGAACUUCGGUUCUUUAAAUCUUGUGACGCCAUGCUUCCAAGAAAAGCUUCUAGGGCUAAUUACAUAGGCGCCCGUACCCAGAACCGCCACAGGUGGACAAGAAGAGUAUUCUAAGGUGAGCGAGAGAACUAUGGCUAAGGAACUCGGCAAAAUGACCCCGUAACUUCGGGAGAAGGGGAGGUUACUUCGGUAACCCGCAGUGAAUAGUCCCAGGCAACUGUUUACCAAAAACACAGCUCUCUGCUAAACCGCAAGGUGAUGUAUAGGGGGUGACACCUGCCCAGUGCUGGAAGGUUAAGAGGAAGGGUUAGUAUGGCGUAAGCUAUGAUACGAAGCUCUGAAUUGAAGCCCCAGUGAACGGCGGCCGUAACUAUAACGGUCCUAAGGUAGCGAAAUUCCUUGUCGGGUAAAUUCCGACCCGCACGAAAGGUGUAAUGAUCUGGGAACUGUCUCGGCCAUAGACUUGGUGAAAUCUUAAUACCUGUGAAAAUGCAGGUUACCCGCAACAGGACGGAAAGACCCCGUGGAGCUUUACUGUAGCUUGAUAUUGAGCUUCGGUAUGUUAUGUAGAGGAUAGGUGGGAGACGUUGAUACUAUGGCGCCAGCUAUAGAGUAGUCAUCCUUGGAAUACCACCCUUAACAUAUUGGAGUUCUAACCUAGACCCAUUAUCUGGGCCAGGGACAGUGUCUGGUGGGCAGUUUGACUGGGGCGGUCGC
rnacentral:rRNA from 1 species